rnacentral:rRNA from 1 species
GUAGAUAGGGCAGAGGUGGAAGUGUGGUAACGCAUGGAGCUGACUGUUACUAAUCGGUCGAGGCUUUAACCAAA